rnacentral:rRNA from 1 species
AUUGAACGCUGGCGGCAGGCCUAACACAUGCAAGUCGAACGAGUGGCGGAAGGGUGAGUAAUGGGUUGGAAACUGCCUGGUGAAGGGGGAUAUAUACUGGGAACGGUAGCUAAUACCGCAUACCAUCAGAGGUGCCAAGAUGGGAUUAGCGUGGUGGUGGGGUAACGGCUUACCAAGGCGACGAUCACUAGCUGGUCUGAGAGGCUGACCAGCCACACUGGGACGGAGACACGGCCCAGACUCCUACGGGAGGCAGCAGUGGGGAAUAUUCCACAAUGGGCGCAAGUCUGAUGCAGCAACGCCGCGUGUGUGAAGAAGGCUUUCGGGUCGUAAAGUUCUUUUAGCGGGGAGGCGGUACUCGAAGAAGAAGUCACGGCUAACUCCGUGCCAGCCGCCGCGGUAAUAC